rnacentral:lncRNA from 1 species
CAAACGACAACCACUGAAUUACAGGCUCCUGACUUGGGACAGGCACAUACAUAAAUAAUGUGGCGGGGUUAAACAUGUUAGCGGAAUCCCAUCCCUCCCCCUAACCUGGGACAGUGCUAUAACAGUACAACAUAAGAAUUGAACGAACUAUAAAAAUCAGUUGAAAAAGGCUUAGCUCAUCAGAUGGAAAAAAAAUACAAGUGGACGUGGCCGGGUACGUACAUGUAUACAUCCCGAAACAAAAAGACACAAUGAACAGAUCUGAGAGUACUCGCAGUUUUCUUACAGUUAGUUC